rnacentral:rRNA from 1 species
AUGCCACUGAAGACCAAGCCACAAAAAAUUCACUCACCAAACAACAGGUACCAGAGACAGAGGCAGCGUCAACGACUGAAAAAGAGAGAGGAGACCAAUGAGCAAAAGGAGGGCACUGAAAAAGGGCAACAUGUUCUUCAAAAGGUAGACAUCAACGUCACAGAAGACCAAGCCCCAAAAUAUUCACUCACCGAAAAACACGCAGCAGAGACGGCAGCAGCGACAACAACUGAAAAGCUACAAGCCAAAAACGACGGCAGCGGCGAUGAACUACAAAAGAAAGAAGAAGAAGAUGCCCAAAAACCUCCACUCAACGAAGAACAAGCACAACAUUCAGCAGCAGCAACGAGAACAGUAGCAGAGACAAUAGAAGCAGCAACGACUGAGGAGGUCAGUGCCAACCAGGUCGAGACUGAAAAACAAGACGGAAAAGACCACCAGCAAGACACGACGGUUGACAAGGAAAAACAUGAUGCCAAGAAAGGCACAGACGACUCAAAUGAGGAUGGAGCAGAAACUGAACAAAAGGGCACAAUGGAGAAAGGGGACAAAGAUAGUGAUUCCGUCAACAAACCCAUCGAAGACCUGUACAAUGCUGUAUGCAAGCCAUGGACACAGAGAGAAAUGGAUGAGCUUUUCAUUACAACGAACAAGUUUGAUGUCAAUCUAGGCCAUGUCGCCGAAAGCUUCAAGGUCGGUAAAUCAGUACGCACCGAAGCAAUCCAGCCCAUGCUAACAAUCUUGAGAAAACAACUAAAUGGCACAGGGAAAAAGAUUAUGUCGUUAAGCAACACUUUCCUUCUACCAUGUUCGUUGCGCGGGUUUGAGCAAGACGAAAAUACAAGUCAUUACUUCACCAUUACAGUUAACAUGCAAAAACAGCGCUUUGAACUCCUUGACUCUUCAACUGCAUAUCCAGGUACAAUAGAAUUCUUCCACAAUGUAACCAGCAAAUUAAUGAAAAUAUGGAAGCACGUAAGCACAGAGCUACAACUUUCACAAAAAAGCAUCGACCAUUUCAAAAGGGUCAAACUGCAGGUGCCACUUCAAGAAGAAGACACAAUGGACUGCGCAUUCUAUAUGUACAUGAACCUGAAGCACUACUCCAAUGAUGGAACAGCAGCAACCUUAGAGCCAGAACAAGUACCAGAGUUGAGGAAAAAAAUUCUAUAUCAACUAAUCAGUCAACACAGAGGGAACACCAAACUGUCAUUAAUCAAGUGUAAAACAGAUAUGCUGAAGUAUGAAGUCGAUAUGGGAGACAAAGAAAUGCAACAGAUAGAAUGUUGCGUACUAGAAGAGUUUCCGCCAAAUCCCGAGCCAAAAGAACAUAUUAUGCAUGCGACAACCACAAAAGAGCAUGAAGUUAUUGAUGUAUCCAGUAAACACAAAGAGGUUAUGGAUGUUCAGUAG